CCUCUUCGAUCUGCUGCGGGCAGAUAUAGUGGAUAUGUGCAUCCAUGCCACCGGCCGUCAGGAUCUUGCCUUCGCCGGCGAUCGCUUCCGUCGACGGGCCGACGAUGAUCGUCACGCCCGGCUGCGUAUCCGGAUUACCAGCUUUGCCGAUCGCGUGGAUACGGCCGUUCUUCAAGCCCACAUCGGCCUUAUAGAUGCCGCUAUGAUCGACGAUCAGCGCAUUGGUGAUGACGGUAUCGACCGCCCCUUCGGCGCGUGUCGCCUGGCUCUGCCCCAUGCCGUCGCGAAUG
rnacentral:sRNA from 1 species